GAUGAACGCUGGCGGCGUGCUUAACACAUGCAAGUCGAACGAUGAAGCCCAGCUUGCUGGGUGGAUUAGUGGCGAACGGGUGAGUAACACGUGAGUAACCUGCCCUUGACUCUGGGAUAAGCCUGGGAAACUGGGUCUAAUACUGGAUAUGACUUCUCAUCGCAUGGUGGGGGGUGGAAAGAUUUAUUGGUCUUGGAUGGACUCGCGGCCUAUCAGCUUGUUGGAGAGGUAAUGGCUCACCAAGGCGACGACGGGUAGCCGGCCUGAGAGGGUGACCGGCCACACUGGGACUGAGACACGGCCCAGACUCCUACGGGAGGCAGCAGUGGGGAAUAUUGCACAAUGGGCGCAAGCCUGAUGCAGCGACGCCGCGUGAGGGAUGACGGCCUUCGGGUUGUAAACCUCUUUCAGUAGGGAAGAAGCGAGAGUGACGGUACCUGCAGAAGAAGCGCCGGCUAACUAUGUG
rnacentral:rRNA from 1 species